CAUCUCUCUCAUUUCGCCUCAUCUCUAUUCUCUUCAUAAAUACAAACGAAAUCGAAGAUCCAUCGAAAAAAUCAAUCAAUAAUAUCAGCUCUUCUAUAUUCUCUUCAUCAACACCAGCUGAAAACGAAGAUUCAUCAGCUUUUCUCGAUGCUCAUCAUCAACAAAAUCCAUCGGCAGAUCAGUUCUUGAGGAUUUGUUGUGAAUCGAUGAAGAACAGUCAAUGAGGAGCACCAACAAUAUUCGAGAGUUUUUUUGUGUUGUCUAAAGCAAUUAGUAAUUGUACCGAAACUCAAGAUUAUACCUUUUCGUUGGUAUGUUGUUGCUGUUAAUUCCAGAAAUUUGUACGAAUGGGUGUGUAUACUUAGCUCAGUAAUGGAUUUACUUAUAAUGGUAUAGAAGUUGAUUAAUCUAAACACCAAACCUGCAGUUUGAGUGUUUUUGUCAUUGAAUGGGACACACCAACAGAUUUGAAUAACAAGUUCCACUUCUGGGCUUACCAAAAACAAAAAAUCUUCAUAUAUUUUAAGCUAUGAGGCGGUUCAAUACAUGAUAGGAUUUAUUUUAUAAUAAGAUUGAGUAUCGAUCAUACCCCUAUUACACUUGAGGUCAGUUUAUUUGGCUUCGGCACAGGCUCUUGCUUGUAGAUUUGUUUAUGUUCAUGGAGACGUGCGUGAGAAAUACUGGAAAUCCUCAGUUUGUAGAACCUGUUCACCUUCUCUAUGAAGGCACAUCACGUUUCCUGCUGGUGCUUCCUCAUGAUUUUCCAGAGUUACAAACCUCAUGAUUUUCCAGAGUUCCUUUGUAAUUAUCAUUUCAGCUUCUGCAAUUUCAUCCUAUCGAGCUGCUUCUUGUAAUGUGCAUCAUUGAUGGGGGUCGAAUGCAAAAGAGUUUCUAUCAAAGGAGAGAGUGAUUGUGAUAAUGACAUGAGCAACAUGAGCAUUGAGAUGGACUAUGAUGUGCAGCAUUGAGAUAGACUGUGAUAGUGACAUGAGCGAGGGUCUGAGGCUUGUACUGAAAAUUUGAAAAAUCUAAUUGGCCUUCACAUUUGAAAGUCACUAUUAUCAGAUUGCUGUGAUUUGAAUAUUUUUGUUCUUUAUUGGCAGCAUCUUCCUCUUAGUUAUGAUAGGCGGUUUAUGGUGUUAAAUUAUGAUAUUAAUGGUGUCUUUGAACAUGUCACGGCAAAGUGGCGUCCAGAAGCUGCACAAAGGCUUGUCCUGGAGGCUGACUUUUCUCGAUGAAACCAGUAUACGGGUAAAUUCUGGAUUUGUAUUGGCAACAGAGAGUAUAUCUACCUCUUGGGGAGUGAAAGCUGGUAUGGAGAUGCAAGCAGAAGCGAAACGUAAAAAGCGAGCUUAAUUUCUUAAGGAAGAAACAUGCCGAUAUCAAUACAGCGGAUGCAAAGAAAAGCUCAGAGAUGUUUGAUGCCAAAGGAAUCAAAGAAAGAGUGCUCGCUGAGGCAGAAAAAAACAAAGCAAGAGUGGUAAUGGAGGUUGAAGGUAUGUUUUUACAAAGAAUAUCUACCUGCCUUCUUUUUUUCUUGGGGUACAAUUCGUGGUAUUGGUUAUCGCUUGCGCCAAAAUCAAAUCAAAUCUUUCACGGGUAAUCACAGAAAUGUUAAGAAAAUUGUAUAUUUAUUUAGUAAAUAUAAUUACAGUACACUAACAAUGACAAUUAUCAAAGUGCAGGUAACCUGGAACUGGAAACAACAAAUGAAACCAAGAUAUAUCUCAAUCUGAUGAGUAUCGUGCAUGUAGUUUACCUGUAUAGAGAAGAAGUAACAGUUUUAGCAGUCAACUUACCUUGUGGUUGUAUAUAAUUAGAAGUUUUUGUUGUGAAUCUUGUGAUCCUUCUAAGUUAUCAGUAUAAUUGUGGAUAAGAAUCAAGCUUUCUAUACCUUGAUAAUCACUGCUCCAUUUGAUACCUUGUGUGUUCUUUUGUUCUGCAUAUGAAAGUGGGAGAUGCUCUAAGUUCUGCUAUGAGGAAGCAGUGAUGGAUUGCUUAUAUGCAAAAUGCAUUGCUUGCGUCAUGACAAAGCUGGAGAAGUUAUGCCAGAACUGAAGAGCUGAGUUGCUUUGAGGUUCUAAAGAAUAACUCUAAUGGUGCCGAAACUGGUUCGUUACUGCAUUUGAUGAAGGAAGCAACUUCGGAUGCACAACUUAGAGUUCUUGAGUCUCUCUGGAUCCACACCCUUGAUAAAGAACUUACGUCUGUUCAAGUAUGAGAUUCUGAAGUUCAAGUAGUUUUUUUUCAAUUGCCUUCAAUUAUGAAGUUCAUCUAGCUUUCAUCUUGGUUUUGAUGCUAGAUGAAACAAUUAUAUAGUUGGCACGAUAUGGCCAGAAGGAGCUGAAAGCUUGGCUUCCAUUCCAUGAGGCUUCAAGACAAGUAGUGGGGAGUGAAUCUAAGAUUGCUCAAGUAUUUCUGGAGGUGCGUUGUGGUGAUGAUACGAUAACAAGUGAGAGUAAGGAAGAUUUUGCAAUGUUUAAUUUAGAAAUCAUGAAAGUAACCUAAAGCAUAGAAAUCUAAUAUAGUUGGACUUAUACAGUGUUUGAAUAAUUGAACUAUCCAUGCUUUGAUAUGUUGUAUAGUUUUAGUAAUUUUACCAAAGUAUAUGUGAAGUUUUGUUUAUAUGCUUUCAGUGUUUUGGCCUGAAAAUAUAUUGCAGGGAACUUUGACCUAGUCAACAAGAGAUUAGCUUGACUUUUUCUUUCUGUUGCAAAAACUUUAGCA